CCUACGGGCGGCAGCAGUGGGGAAUAUUGGACAAUGGGCGAAAGCCUGAUCCAGCCAUGCCGCGUGUGUGAAGAAGGCCUUCGGGUUGUAAAGCACUUUCAGUGGGGAAGAAAGCCUUGGGGCUAAUACCCUCGAGGAAGGACAUCACCCACAGAAGAAGCACCGGCUAACUCCGUGCCAGCAGCCGCGGUAAUACGGAGGGUGCGAGCGUUAAUCAGAAUUACUGGGCGUAAAGCGCGCGUAGGCGGUCUGAUAAGCCGGUUGUGAAAGCCCCGGGCUCAACCUGGGAACGGCAUCCGGAACUGUCAGGCUAGAGUGCAGGAGAGGAAGGUAGAAUUCCCGGUGUAGCGGUGAAAUGCGUAGAGAUCGGGAGGAAUACCAGUGGCGAAGGCGGCCUUCUGGACUGACACUGACGCUGAGGUGCGAAAGCGUGGGUAGCAAACAGGAUUAGAUACCCUAGUAGUC
rnacentral:rRNA from 1 species